rnacentral:lncRNA from 1 species
GGUGGCCGUCGUAGUAGUCGGUGGUCAAAAGUGGAUGGUAGGUGGCUAUCGCGGUGUUUGGUGGUAGGGAUUGGACCGUAGCCGAAAGUGGUGGAUGGCAAGUCGUGAGUCCUGAUUCGUAUCUGUGCAUAUUGUCUUUUUCGAAGAAAAAAAAAAACCCUUGAAUUCGUGGUGGCCGCUGAUCUCUGGACUUCUGUGCAUCAAACGAAACUAUAGCAGAGCAUC